CUUACCUAAUUUCCUAAAAGAAAAGUUACCUUAAAAGCGAUAAUUUCUUUCUUUUUUUCUAUCUACUAUUAUCUCCCUUUCAUUGUCAAUCCUUUGGGGACAUGAUCGAUCGAGGAGGAAUAUAGAGUAGUUGUGUCAUUCUGAGGUCAGGUAAAGAGAAAGGGAUAACAAUGAAAGAGAGGAAGAACUAGGAUGGUGAUGCAAUGGCCUUAUGGCGGAUUCUUUUCUAUGAUAAAGAAUGCUAGUUGAGCCAAACAAUAGGAGUAGACAUUAGCUUGCAGAUCGAGUCAUUGAAGCUAUCAAAUCAAAGAAUCAGUACAUGUAGUAGGAGCAAAUCCAACGUGUGUGGGGGCUUAAGCCCCUACCUACCUAAGAGAGAUAGAGAAGGAGAGAAGAGAAGACAAGAGAGAGGAAGAGAGAAGGGCUAAAGGAAGAAAAAGUGAAAUGAGCACCCCAACACCCCUUUA
rnacentral:lncRNA from 1 species